rnacentral:lncRNA from 1 species
CAAGUGAUUCUCCUGCCUCAGCCUCCUGAGUAGCUAGGAUUACAGGAAUCCUGAGGUCAGCAUCAUCCCAAUUUCACAGAGUAUGACAUGACGUCUCAGAGAGGGUAAGCAGCUUGCCAAACAUUCCACAGCCAGGAAGCUGUAGGACCAGCCUGUGCUCCUAAGGACUGGCUCCUGGCUGCUAUAUAUAGAACUAAGCCUGGUGGAGGUGUCAGAAAUAGAGGUUCACUUCUGUCAUCACCGACCUCCCUCCACACCUUUGCAAAGGAGGAAACUGAGAGGCAGGGAUUUCCGCAGAGCAAGGAACCCAAAUUGCUGCCUCCUGUGAUUUAUACACUGCACCCCAAGCUGUAGGGGUAACCCAAGGACAAAGCUGUAACCCAAGCGGGAACAUAUGCCCCAUCUGGGGCCACCAAAAUCUUACCAGCUUCCUCAGCUGGUGGAUCGGUUAAUUCACGGCCACAGCCCCCUGGAGCUGGGGGAAAGGAAAACCAGGGCGUCUCCGCAAACCAGCCCAGAGAGAGGUCUGCGGAAGGGCCCGGAAGCCUGCAGGCCCCUCUGCACCCCCAACCCCACCGCCAUCCUGGACCUCCAAGAUGACCUGGUCCAACAGAGUCCUGCAUGGAAAAGACUGGAACCCAGGGAGGAGCAGAGCCCCGCCCAAGGUCACCGGCCGAGCCUGAAUAGAACCCGGUUCUCCAGGAGCCCUGUCUUUAGCUGUCUUGUCCAAAUAAAAUUUUUCAGGCCA